rnacentral:rRNA from 1 species
GACGAACGCUGGCGGCGUGCCUAAUACAUGCAAGUUGAGCGAUGAAGAUUGGUGCUUGCACCAAUUUGAAGAGCAGCGAACGGGUGAGUAACGCGUGGGGAAUCUGCCUUUGAGCGGGGGACAACAUUUGGAAACGAAUGCUAAUACCGCAUAAUAACUCUAAACAUAAGUUUUAAGUUUGAAAGAUGCAAUUGCAUCACUCAAAGAUGAUCCCGCGUUGUAUUAGCUAGUUGGUGAGGUAAAGGCUCACCAAGGCGAUGAUACAUAGCCGACCUGAGAGGGUGAUCGGCCACAUUGGGACUGAGACACGGCCCAAACUCCUACGGGAGGCAGCAGUAGGGAAUCUUCGGCAAUGGACGAAAGUCUGACCGAGCAACGCCGCGUGAGUGAAGAAGGUUUUCGGAUCGUAAAACUCUGUUGGUAGAGAAGAACGUUGGUGAGAGUGGAAAGCUCAUCAAGUGACGGUAACUACCCAGAAAGGGACGGCUAACUACGUG